UUCCGGUUGAUCCCGCCGGACCCGACUGCUAUCAGAGUGGGACUAAGCCAUGCGAGUCAACGCAGCAAUGCGUGGCAUACGGCUCAGUAACACGUAGUCAACAUGCCCAGGGGACGUGGAUAACCUCGGGAAACUGAGGAUAAACCGCGAUAGGCCAAAGUUUCUGGAAUGGAUUUUGGCUGAAACCUACAUGGCCCCUGGAUUGGACUGCGGCCGAUCAGGCUGUUGGUGAGGUAAUGGCCCACCAAACCUGUAACCGGUACGGGCUCUGAGAGGAGGAGCCCGGAGAUGGGCACUGAGACAAGGGCCCAGGCCCUAUGGGGCGCAGCAGGCGCGAAACCUCUGCAAUAGGCGAAAGCUUGACAGGGUUACUCUGAGUGAUGCCCGUUAAGGGCAUCUUUUGGCACCUCUAAAAAUGGUGCAGAAUAAGGGGUGGGCAAGUCUGGUGUCAGCCGCCGCGGUAAUACCAGCACCCCGAGUGGUCGGGACGAUUAUUGGGCCUAAAGCAUCCGUAGCCGGUUCUGCAAGUCUUCCGUUAAAUCCACCUGCUCAACAGAUGGGCUGCGGAGGAUACUACAGGGCUAGGAGGCGGGAGAGGCAAGCGG
rnacentral:rRNA from 1 species